rnacentral:rRNA from 1 species
GGAGAGUUUGAUCCUGGCUCAGGAUUAAUGCUGGCGGCGCGCCUGACACAUGCAAGUCGUACGGCCCGCCUUUGGCGGGCAGUGGCGAACGGCUGAGUAACGCGUGGAUAAUCUGCCCUUCUCCCGACCAUAACCUGCCGAAAGGUAGGCUAAUAGUCGAUGGUAUUUAAUGGUGAAAUUCCAUUAAAUUAAAGGCUUUCCGCAAGGAUGGCCGGAGAAGGAGGAGUCCGCGUCCUAUCAGCUUGUUGGUGAGGUAAUGGCUCACCAAGGCGAUGACGGGUAGCUGGUCUGAGAGGAUGGUCAGCCAGAAGGGGACUGAGACACGGCCCCUACUCCUACGGGAGGCAGCAGUGAGGAAUCUUGCGCAAUGGGCGAAAGCCUGACGCAGCGACGCCGCAUGAGGGAAGAAAUCCUUCGGGGUGUAAACCUCUUUUUUUGCCGACGAAAUCUGACGUUAGGCAAAGAAUAGGGACCUGCUAACUACGUGCCAGCAGCCGCGGUAAGACGUAGGGUCCAAGCAUUAUCCGGAUUUACUGGGCGUAAAGAGUGCGUAGGUGCUCGUCUUAAUUUCGUCUGAAAGGCUGUGGCUCAACCACAGAAUUGGACGAAAAAUUGGACGAGUUGAGGCCGGAAGGGGCAGGUGGAAUUCUCGGUGUAGGGGUGAAAUCCGUUGAUAUCGAGAAGAACGCCAAUGGCGAAGGCAGCCUGCUGGUUCGGUUCUGACACUGAGGCACGAAAGCGUGGGGAGCGAACGGGAUUAGAUACCCCGGUAGUCCACGCCGUAAACGAUGCAGACUAGCUAUUGGGAGCAUCGACCCUCCUUGUAGCGAAGCUAACGCAUCAAGUCUGCCGCCUGGGAAGUACGGCCGCAAGGCUAAAACUCAAAGGAAUUGACGGGGGCUCGCACAAGCGGUGGAGCAUCUGGCUUAAUUCGACAACAAGCGAAGAACCUUACCAGGCCUU